GUGGGCGUAGUUCAGUGGUAGAGCACCAGAAUGUGGAUCUGGGGGUCGCGGGUUCAAAUCCCGUCGCCCACC
rnacentral:tRNA from 1 species